rnacentral:rRNA from 1 species
UACGAAGGGGGCUAGCGUUGCUCGGAAUCACUGGGCGUAAAGCGCACGUAGGCGGAUUGCUAAGUCAGGGGUGAAAUCCUGGAGCUCAACUCCAGAACUGCCUUUGAUACUGAGGAUCUUGAGUUCGGGAGAGGUGAGUGGAACUGCGAGUGUAGAGGUGAAAUUCGUAGAUAUUCGCAAGAACACCAGUGGCGAAGGCGGCUCACUGGCCCGGUACUGACGCUGAGGCGCGAAAGCGUGGGGAGCAAACAGG